rnacentral:rRNA from 1 species
CGCCUGGGGAGUACGGCCGCAAGGUUAAAACUCAAAUGAAUUGACGGGGGCCCGCACAAGCGGUGGAGCAUGUGGUUUAAUUCGACGCAACGCGAAGAACCUUACCUGGCCUUGACAUCCAGAGAGCUUUCCAGAGAUGGAUUGGUGCCUUCGGGAACUCUGAGACAGGUGCUGCAUGGCCGUCGUCAGCUCGUGUCGUGAGAUGUUGGGUUAAGUCCCGUAACGAGCGCAACCCCUAUCCCUGGUUGCUAGCAGGUAAUGCUGAGAACUCCAGGGAGACUGCCGGUGACAAACCGGAGGAAGGUGGGGAUGACGUCAGGUCAUCAUGGCCCUUACGGCCAGGGCUACACACGUGCUACAAUGGCGCGUACAGAGGGCUGCCAACUCGCGAGAGUGAGCCAAUCCCUUAAAACGCGUCGUAGUCCGGAUCGGAGUCUGCAACUCGACUCGGUGAAGUCGGAAUCGCUAGUAAUCGCGAAUCAGAAUGUCGCGGUGAAUACGUUCCCGGGCCUUGUACACACCGCCCGUCACACCAUGGGAGUGGAUUGCACCAGAAGUAGUUAGUCUAACCUUCGGGAGGACGAUUACCACGGUGUGGUUCAUGACUGGGGUGAAGUCGUAACAAGGUAACCGUA